GGCUUAUUGAAAAUAAUUUUAAGUCAAUCUGCCCAAUGAUGAUCUAAAUUUAAAUGGCUGCAGUAUAACUAACUGUACAAAGGUAGCAUAAUCAAUUGUUUUUUAAUUAAAAACUAGAAUGAAAGAAUUAAUGAGAUAUAUACUGUCUCAUAUAUAUAAAAUAAAUUUAAAUUUUUAGUAAAAAUGCUUAAAUUAAUUUACGGGACGAUAAGACCCUAUAGAAUUUUAUAUUUAUAUUUAAUUUAUUAUUUAAUUAUAAUAUAAAUAUUUAAUUGGGAGGAUUAGUAAAUUAAAAAAACUUUAUUUUUAAAAUAAACUUUAAUUUUAGAAUAUAAAUUUUGAUCUUAUAUUAUAAAAUAAAAAAAUAAAUUACCUUAGGGAUAACAGCGUAAUAUCUUUUUAAAGACCAUAUUAAUAAAGAUGUUUGCGACCUCGAUGUUGAAUUAAGAUAAAUUUUAGAUGAAGAGAUCUAAAUAUUAAGUCUGUUCGACUUUUAAAAUCUUACAUGAUUUGAGUUCAAAUCGACGUAAGU
rnacentral:rRNA from 2 species